rnacentral:rRNA from 1 species
CCUACGGGGGGCUGCAGUAGGGAAUAUUGCGCAAUGGGCGAAAGCCUGACGCAGCCAUGCCGCGUGGAUGAUGAAGGCCUUCGGGUCGUAAAGUCCUUUUCUGAGGGAAGAACUGCCGGGGGAGGAAAUGCCCUUGGCUUGACGGUACCUCAGGAAUAAGCAACGGCUAACUCCGUGCCAGCAGCCGCGGUAAUACGGAGGUUGCAAGCGUUGUUCGGAAUGACUGGGCGUAAAGGGAGCGCAGGCGGCCAAGUCAGUCUGAAGUGAAAGCCCGGGGCUUAACCCCGGAAUAGCUUUGGAUACUGCCUGGCUUGAGUGUGCGAUAGGAAAGCGGAAUUCCAGGUGUAGCGGUGAAAUGCGUAGAUAUCUGGAGGAACACCGGUGGCGAAAGCGGCUUUCUGGCGCAUAACUGACGCUGAGGCUCGAAAGCGUGGGGAGCGAACGGGAUUAGAUACCCCGGUAGUC